rnacentral:rRNA from 1 species
GGAACCUGGUUGAUCCUGCCAGUAGUCAUAUGCUUGUCUCAAAGAUUAAGCCAUGCAUGUCUAAGUAUAAACAUCUUUAUACAGUGAAACUGCGAACGGCUCAUUAUAUCAGUGAUUAUUUCUUUGAUGGUACUUCACUACAUGGAUAACUGUAGUAAUUCUAGAGCUAAUACAUGCGUAAAAUCCCAACUCUU